UAGGGAAUCUUCCGCAAUGGGCGAAAGCCUGACGGAGCAACGCCGCGUGAGUGAUGAAGGUCUUCGGAUCGUAAAACUCUGUUAUUAGGGAAGAACAUAUGUGUAAUUAACUGUGCACAUCUUGACGGUACCUAAUCAGAAAGCCACGGCUAACUACGUGCCAGCAGCCGCGGUAAUACGUAGGUGGCAAGCGUUAUCCGGAAUUAUUGGGCGUAAAGCGCGCGUAGGCGGUUUUUUAAGUCUGAUGUGAAAGCCCACGGCUCAACCGUGGAGGGUCAUUGGAAACUGGAAAACUUGAGUGCAGAAGAGGAAAGUGGAAUUCCAUGUGUAGCGGUGAAAUGCGCAGAGAUAUGGAGGAACACCAGUGGCGAAGGCGACUUUCUGGUCUGUAACUGACGCUGAUGUGCGAAAGCGUGGGGAUCAAACA
rnacentral:rRNA from 1 species